rnacentral:rRNA from 1 species
UACGAGGGGGGCAAGCGUUGUUCGGAAUUAUUGGGCGUAAAGGGUGCGUAGGCGGUUUGGUAAGUCUUAUGUGAAAUCUACAGGCUCAACUUGUAGUCUGCAUGAGAAACUGCCGGGCUUGAGUAUGGGAGAGGUGAGUGGAAUUCCUGGUGUAGCGGUGAAAUGCGUAGAUAUCAGGAGGAACACCUGUGGCGAAAGCGGCUCACUGGACCAUAACUGACGCUGAUGCACGAAAGCGUGGGUAGCAAACAGG